rnacentral:lncRNA from 1 species
GGACAUGAACAGCAUCCAAAGAAGAAAGAGAUUUCUGGGCAGCCCCUGGGGAAGGGUGGGGGCCCUGGAGGAAAUGCAGGUGUCUUCGAGAUUCGAUUGCAUCCCGCACACGCCAGGCCCUCAGGCAGUGAGCCAGAAGUGCUGCUUCAGCUUCUCAUUGCAGUAGUUGAUCCACAGCUGUGCCAAGCUGUCGUUGGGGAAGAAUGUGAAUCCAAACACAUCCAGCAGGGCUGGCAGAAGGAGAGACACUGAAGGGCCACUGCAGGGGACCACCAGAGAGAGUCUCCCUAAAGCCCAACGUGGCAAGGCUCCUGCUAAAUCAAAUGAUUAGGUGUCCAUGUGAACUCGAAAAAUUCCGCAACCUGGCUACUACCUGUGUUACUGAGAUACAAAUAAAUUAAAUUUAAGGCCACACCAGAAGGCCCCUGAGAUCUCCCUGUGUGGGCCUCAGGCCAAGUCCCGCCCCAGUCAGGUGAGCGAUCCUGAGAGACGAUCACAGUGAGCACCACCCAGGUGUCUGCAUUCUGGGGAAGUCAGGCUUCGUCCUGGGAGCUGGAGUCUGAGCUGCUUCAUUGCCUGGCCUGACGGAAUUGGGAUCCCCCAGAACGCCUGGAAGAUGUCCCCCACUCUCCCACCUCCAGUGCCUGGCCCAGGGCUGGCACACUGCAGGAGCUCAACUCUCUUCUGCGUGGAUGUUGGCAGCCUGGGUUCAUGGACGAAGAAGGUCUUAUAAAAGCAGAAGUGCCAGGUCGUGAGUAAGGCCCUGGCACGUGGUCCCCUCUGACCAGUUUGCCGCUCCCCAUCUGGCUUGUACAAUAUUUUUUUAUACCAGCUGUGGUGCUGCCACCCAGAGGCCCCACUGCCACCCAAGGAGCCUCUCUCCUCCCCUUGCUGAUCCUCAGCACCGUACCUGCCCUUGUGGGAACAGAUAUAGGUGGAAUGCCAAGGAGAGGCAGGCAGGCUACCUCAAGAAACCCUUUCCCACAAGUAACCCAGUUAACUUCUGGGGUCUCUGAGCACAUGCCACACAUGGCACCAAGCACUGUAUGUGCACUGGCUUUUUAACAUACUCAGAGGCGAUUUUAAGGAGAGGGCACUGAGGCUUGGGCCUUGGGGUGGGCGUGCCAGGUUGUGUGUCCUGUGUCAUGCCUUGAGCCAAACCCAGAUGUUCACCCAAUCUCAAGUCAGAAACCUGUCCUUCACAGGCAGAGGCCCAGCACAGCUGGAAAAGGGCCCUUGGCCUGACCCAGGUAAGGUAUGAUUUUGUCUGCGUGAUCCCCAAUAUGUGAGCCCAAUCACCCUGUUGUCCCUGGAGCCACAGGUACAUGGCAGGGUAUUCCUGGAGCCCCCAGGCCCGGGAGUGGAAGUGGGGAGCAGAGAGAGGAAGGCUGUGAGGGGAGGAUAUGUAUAGACCAGAUAAUGUAAGAUUUGGAUUCAGUUCUGCCUGGACCCGUACUGGGCGUGGGGUAAAAACACAAGGGAGUAAGGUCCUGCACUCCUGGGAAAGACCCAACACACACCCCGAAACAGAAUCUUAGGGUCAGGGGCAUUGGGCAGAAGAAUGUCACAUAGGAGAUCGGAGCAGGCUUUGGAGGGACACUGUCCUGUGUUCAAAUCUCAGGUACAACACUGGAACACGUCCCUUCACCUCCUCUUCCUCAGUUCUCGUCUAGGAAAUGGCACCUCCUCAGGCUUGUGGUUACGACUGUCCCAGCCCAAUCGGCCUUGGACCACCAGGGGCUGAGCCGUAGUUUGACCAAGUCGGGAUGACUGGUGCUUUGCAACGAAGGAGACCACACACCAGCAGACCCACGGAGCAUCUCACCAGACAGAAGAGAAGAGAGUUCCUAUGGUAUUGGGGGGAAGAGUGGAGGUUAGGUGAAAUGUCAAUGAAACAUUUUUCUUUCUAUAGCCUCAAAACACAGGAGGAUGUGCACGAAGGUCUGGGCCAUGAAGUGUACCCGGUGUUCUGCUUUCCUUGGAAGCUAAAACUUAAGAGUCACGUCAUGGACGAAUUCAACUGAGGAUUUGCAAACAAAAAAUAAAGAGAAAGAGAAAUGAUUUCAACGUGGACGGGCAGUUCACCCCUUGCUAUUCCUGGACUGAGUGUGAGGUGGGAGGUGCGACUCUGCUGGGCUCUCCGCCAGUCUCAGCUCCUGGCUGCCUCUUAAAAGGUUUCAGGAGGAAAUUAUUAGCCCUGCUUCCUGGUUAACCUGCAAACACACUCAGAGGCCACAUGCAAAGACUGAGUACCUGACUGUCCGGCCUAACCAGGCAGGAGGGCAAUGGAGAGAGACUUUGGCAUCAGACAGACCUGAGCUGGAAUGCUGGCUCUGCCACUGCUGGCUAGGUGGCUUCAUCUGAAGAAACGGUGACCAGGUGAGUAAACGUUGCAGAGCCAUGGUGUUUGUGUAUUACGGACAAGCAAGAAAGAAGAGGAGUGUGUUUGGAGGGAGAACCCCAGAGUUCAGGGGUGUGGAGAAAUAGUCCCCACCCCCCAAUGUCGCUUUCAGCACGGCUGGGCCGCUUACAAAGGAUUUCUUUUGAAAACCACCGCUUCCGAACGGAGACUGAAGGAGCGGCGAGAAGACGAACGAGGAGUUUUAGCGACAGAGCCAACACCGGGCACCGCGAGGGGGCGCCAGAUGAGAGGGCGAGUUCAAAGGCGGCCUCGACAAGUCCUAGACCCGAUGGCAGUGAGGAGUGAGGGGACCGGGCACCCGGCGGCCGGACAGCGCAUUUGGGCUUCCAGAACCUCGUGCAGAUGACGGGGCUCCCCGGCUCCUUCGCUCUCCCGAGCCCCCGUCUUCUCUCCCAGUUCCCACCCAGAACCGGUCAGCACUCAGCAACACCGGGCAGGGAACACCAAUCACAGGCAAUCCUCUGGUCCUGCUUUGUGCUCAAGCUCCAGAAGCAGAGCAUCGUGCACUCGAUCUGUGGAAGGUCCUGGGCCCGAUGGAGGGAUCCGUGCUAAGUUGGAGGACCUUGCUCCGUGGCUGCCUCUGGGCGACCGAGUUUCCUUGGCGGGAAAGGAAGUUGUCCUCGAACAGUUCAGGUCCUAAAAGAACACUAUCCCUGGCCCUCCGCCUACCUCGCUGUGUGGCUUAGGAUAAAUGAGCUAUUCUCUCUAGGUCUGUUGCUCCACCUAUAAAAUGAAUGAGUGAGAUAAAAGGGUCUCUACAGUCCCUCGUUUAUCCUGGCCCUGCAAACCCAGGAUCAGCGUCAGUGUCGCUUGGAGUGAUGUCAGUGCUCUUACCCUGGCUAGGGCCGUGUGAAGCUUUUCAAGCAAUAACAUGCACAGCAGCCAGGCCACAAUCAUCUGGGGGAACUGAUGCACAGGAAAAAGAAAAAUGGGACUUGUUCAUCGGUAAAUAUUGUGCUCCUCUUGUGUGUCUGGCACUGGGUUGGCACUGGGUGCUCAGGGAGAAACAGGCAUGACCCUGCUCCCCCAGUUAAGGGCUGUGCCUCCCUCAUCAGACUCUGAGCUCCCCAGGGUGGGGGCUCUACUCUCAUCAGGCUGCCCUCAUCAGGAAGGAGGUCGGAGACCCCAGAGCUCUGCUCUUUCCUCUGCAGUGUCCACCUGGUUGCUCCACAGAGACUCCCAGGCCUUUUCCCACACCUCACUCACCCAACCCCAGGACUGCAUGGGCCUGGGCUCCCUGUGGACUCCCAGCUGAGCCAUUGGCUCUCUCCCACCCACAGAUCUACAGAGGAACCAGUGCAGACCAGAGGCUCCAGUGGCACCUCCCCAAGGAAGUGGCCUUCUCCUGCCCAACACUGAGAGGACAUUUGAAGUUUGGGGAGCCCCUCUCAGCACUCAGAGUCAGCAGGAAUGUACCUGACCACCCUCUGCACCUGACCUGCCUCCCCAGGCCUGCCACCUGCUGGCAUUCUUUUGCAGAGGUUUGUCUUCCCAGAUAGGUCAUGCUCCAUUGAGCAUCAAAGCCCCACCAAGAAAAACAUCUGUAAGUCCAGGAGAGUAUCUGCGAGGCAUCUGAAGUCAGACUGUCUAGGCUCAGACCCUGGCUUUUCCCUCUGUGACUGUGUGAUCUGGGCUCAUGAUUAAACUUCCACUAGCCCCAUCGGUGUACUGGGCAUUGUCACAGCACAUACCUCAUAGAUUGUUGAAAGG